GACGUAGGGCGCGAGCGUUGUCCGGAUUUAUUGGGCGUAAAGAGCUCGUAGGCGGCUUGUCGCGUCAACUGUGAAAACCCGUGGCUCAACCACGUGGUCUGCAGUCGAUACGGGCAGGCUAGAAUUCGGUAGGGGAGACUGGAAUUCCUGGUGUAGCGGUGAAAUGCGCAGAUAUCAGGAGGAACACCGGUGGCGAAGGCGGGUCUCUGGGCCGAUAUUGACGCUGAGGAGCGAAAGCGUGGGUAGCGAACAGG
rnacentral:rRNA from 1 species